rnacentral:rRNA from 1 species
UACAGAGGGGGCAAGCGUUGUCCGGAAUCACUGGGCGUAAAGGGCGCGUAGGCGGCCUGGUAAGUAGGGGGUGAAAUCCUGCGGCUUAACCGCAGGGCUGCCUUCUAAACUGUCAGGCUUGAGCACGGUAGAGGCAGAUGGAAUUCCCGGUGUAGCGGUGGAAUGCGUAGAGAUCGGGAAGAACAUCAGUGGCGAAGGCGGUCUGCUGGGCCGUUGCUGACGCUGAGGCGCGACAGCGUGGGGAGCAAACAGG